AGAAAGAAUAGUGGAACUGCUAAUUCCAUACCUCCAUAACUAGUAAUAUGGCUUUCUU
rnacentral:tRNA from 1 species